rnacentral:rRNA from 1 species
UGCGUAGGCAGCGAGCGUUGUUCGGAGUUACUGGGCGUAAAGGGUGUGUAGGCGGUUCUUUAAGUUUGGUGUGAAAUCUCCCGGCUCAACCGGGAGGGUGCGCCGAAUACUGAGGAACUAGAGUACGGGAGAGGAAAGUGGAAUUCCUGGUGUAGCGGUGAAAUGCGUAGAUAUCAGGAGGAACACCGGUGGUGUAGACGGCUUUCUGGACCGUAACUGACGCUGAGACACGAAAGCGUGGGUAGCAAACAGG